ACUAAUGGGAGACAUUAUGUGAUUGUUUUCACUCAUUUUUGUGAUAAUAGAAAUAUUGUUCUACAUCCAGAAACUACUCUCUAAAAUUUGCAUGACUGAUGAUUUUGCUGGCCUGAAUAAAUGGAUCAAAGCCAAUAAACCGACGUUAAUUUUACAUUUGUAAUAGAAGAAAGUAUUGUAUUUUUCCUGAGACAUGUUUUACAUCCUCGGUUUAGGCCUAUGAAGGACAUGUUGAAUAUUUCAUACCAAGACAGUGCAAAACAUGGAUGUCCAGUCGUCAAGUGAUAUAAUGAUAAUUGGAGGAAACUCUCACCCAGAACUUGUAGCUUUGAUCGCUAGUCGUCUGGGUGUGAAAAGCGGUGGUUGUGCUGUUUACCACAAGACAAACCGUGAAACCAUGGUCGAGAUUGGAGACUCAGUACGAGGAAAGGAUAUCUAUAUAAUCCAGACGGGAACAAAAGAUGUGAACAAUAACAUAAUGGAGUUGCUGAUUAUGGCAUAUGCAUGCAAGACAUCUUCAGCCAAGAGCAUCGUUGGGGUGAUUCCAUAUCUCCCAUACAGUAAACAAUGCAAGAUGAGGAAACGUGGCUGUAUUGUGAGCAAGCUGCUUGCUAAGAUGAUGUGCAAGUCGGGUCUCACCCACGUCAUCACAAUGGACCUGCACCAGAAGGAGAUCCAGGGAUUCUUUGACUGUCCUGUAGACAACUUGAGGGCCUCGCCCUUUUUGCUGCAGUACAUCCAGGAGUGUAUCCCUGAUUAUCGCAACGCUGUGAUUGUGGCCCGGAACCCUGGCUCAGCUAAGAAGGCAACUUCAUAUGCUGAGAGACUACGCCUAGGAAUUGCAGUUAUCCAUGGUGAACAGAAAGAAGCUGAGUCAGACAUGGUGGAUGGUCGAUAUUCUCCUCCAACUCUGUCACGCUCUCGCACAAUGGACGUGAGUGUAGGUGUUCCUGUCCAUCCAGCCAAGGAGAAGCCUCCAAUCAAUGUCGUUGGUGAUGUAGGAGGGAGAAUUGCUAUCAUGGUUGAUGAUAUGGUGGAUGAUGUACAGUCAUUUGUGGCAGCUGCUGAAGUUCUCAAGGAGCGAGGUGCUUACAAGAUCUAUGUGCUUGCGACGCAUGGCCUCUUGUCUUCUGAUGCCCCUCGUCUCAUUGAGGACUCUCCAAUUGAUGAGGUGGUUGUAACAAACACAAUCCCUCAUGAGCUACAAAAGAUGCAGUGCCACAAAAUAAAGACUGUGGACAUCAGUAUCCUCCUCUCAGAAGCCAUUCGCCGCAUACACAACAAAGAGUCUAUGUCGUACCUGUUUAAGAAUGUCACUUUAGAAGACUAGGAAGUGAUUUCUGCCAGGAAUCUCACCAAACAGUUAAGCCACUUCUCUGUGCAAAUGUGUACAUUUACAGUGACUUUUGAUGUAGCUUGGUAUCUUUUGUAUGUCUGAUUGUUAAAAUAGUUAAAAUGACUGGAGCAUGAAGCUGACCAUUACCUUCAUCAGUGCCAAGAUCUGGAUCUGGAAUGCUAAAGCUUUAUCUGUACAUUCCUUGUGCCUUUGUGGCACAGGAAGUGAUAUAGAUGAGUUACACAAGGACAAAAGCAGGAUUCCUUUUAACGGAUCAAGAAUGCAGAUGUCAAAUAUAUGAAGAAUGGAGUGACCAAGUGAGCGAACAUAAACAGAAGACACGUGAGCAGAGUGCUUACAGGCGGAUGGAGAACGGUAUUGCCUAUUGACUUAUGGGACACUAUAGAACUGUCAGUGGAUGAUGGUGUAGCAAAAACUCUUAAGUUCAGUGUCUGGACAACCUACAAAUUGCAUUAGUCUUCUGCGUUUGCAUAUGCAAGUGAUCCAAAUUUGUUUAUUCAUGAAGUUCACUUUCCUCUGUCACAUCAUCAUAUUUUCUUUUUUACAACUGUUCCAUAUUCAUAUUACUGACUUAUCCAGAUGAACUAAGCACAUGGUUAUUUUGUAACACUAUUCCAAAUAAGCUAUGUUAAUAUGGGAACACAAAAUUGAUCUUUAUGUUUUAUUGCAGAUUUUUAAAGGUACACAGUAAAUUUCAAUUGCAACACAUCAUUGUGUGCUAUAGUCACUUCUGUCCACAUCACCAUACAAACUUAAAUGUGAAAGUGGUAACAUGUUUCAUCAUCAGUGUGCCAUCCAUCAUCAGACCAUCAAUUACAUAUUUAAAUAUGAAUAAAUUACUUCAUAUACCACUGAGA